rnacentral:antisense_RNA from 1 species
UACCGUGACAGGUUGCACGGGCAACCUUCGGGUUGGCCGUUGUCCUUGGCGGUCUGCUACCCCGUGCAAUCUGUCUCCACC